rnacentral:piRNA from 1 species
GCACGUAAGUUGGCAAGGUUUUGGUGU